AGUCAACGCUGGCGGCGUGCCUAACACAUGCAAGUCGAGCGCGAAAGUGGGCUUCGGCCCACGAGUAGAGCGGCGCACGGGUGAGUAACGCGUGGGUGAUCUACCCUCGAGUGGGGAAUAACACCGGGAAACUGGUGCUAAUACCGCAUAACAUCCCCGGUUCGUUCCGGGGAUCAAAGCUGGGGACCGUAAGGCCUGGCGCUUGAGUGAGGAGCCCGCGUCCGAUUAGCUUGUUGGCGGGGUAAUGGCCCACCAAGGCUUCGAUCGGUAGCCGGCCUGAGAGGGCGGACGGCCACACUGGGACUGAGACACGGCCCAGACUCCUACGGGAGGCAGCAGUGGGGAAUUUUUCGCAAUGGGGGAAACCCUGACGAAGCAACGCCGCGUGGAGGAUGAAGGCCCUCGGGUCGUAAACUCCUGUCGAUCGGGAAGAAUGCGUGCGGGUUAAUACCCCGUUGCGUUGACUGUACCGGUGGAGGAAGCCACGGCUAACUCUGUG
rnacentral:rRNA from 1 species